rnacentral:rRNA from 1 species
GAUGAACGCUGGCGGCGUGCCUAAUACAUGCAAGUCGAGCGAACAGAUGAGGAGCUUGCUCCUCUGACGUUAGCGGCGGACGGGUGAGUAACACGUGGAUAACCUACCUAUAAGACUGGGAUAACUUCGGGAAACCGGAGCUAAUACCGGAUAAUAUAUUGAACCGCAUGGUUCAAUAGUGAAAGACGGUUUUGCUGUCACUUAUAGAUGGAUCCGCGCCGCAUUAGCUAGUUGGUAAGGUAACGGCUUACCAAGGCAACGAUGCGUAGCCGACCUGAGAGGGUGAUCGGCCACACUGGAACUGAGACACGGUCCAGACCCCUACGGGGGGCAGCAGUAGGGAAUUUUCCGCAAGGGGCGAAAGCCUGAGGGAGAAACGCCGCGUGGGUGAAGAAGGUCUUCGGAUCGUAAAACUCUUUUAUUAGGGAAGAACAAAUUUGAAAGUAACUAGGACCGUUUUGACGGUACCAAAACAGAAAGCCACGGCUAACCACGU